CAACCCAACUCCAGCUCUCUCUCUCUCUAUCUUUCUCUAUCCUUCUCUCCUCUCCCAAUGUCCUGCCUCCCAUAUCCAUUUUCUCCUUUGGUUGUUAGAAAUACAGCCAUCCCCAUCUUUCAGCUUUACGAGCUGUUCACAGCUCUCCCCUCCCGCUUCCCGCUCUAAGCUGCAACGGAGCAGGGACAGAGCUAUUUCCCCCAUCUCCCACUUUCUCAUUUCCAUCUUCCCCUUCUUGAUUCCACCUUAGAUAGCACCGACAUCUCUCACCACUCCCGCGAGCGCAAUCCAUGGCCACGGCUCUGGCCCCGGGCGCUGCCCACGCC
rnacentral:sRNA from 1 species